CCUACGGGAGGCUGCAGUGAGGAAUAUUGGUCAAUGGGCGAGAGCCUGAACCAGCCAAGUCGCGUGAGGGAGUACUGCCCUAUGGGUUGUAAACCUCUUUUGUCGGGGAGCAAAAGCCGGACGUGUCCGGCUGUGAGAGUACCCGAAGAAAAAGCAUCGGCUAACUCCGUGCCAGCAGCCGCGGUAAUACGGAGGAUGCGAGCGUUAUCCGGAUUUAUUGGGUUUAAAGGGUGGUCAGGCGGAUUUUUAAGUCAGCGGUAAAAUCGUGGGGCUCAACCCCAUCCAGCCGUUGAAACUGGGGUUCUUGAGUGUGCGAGAGGUAUGCGGAAUGCGUGGUGUAGCGGUGAAAUGCAUAGAUAUCACGCAGAACCCCGAUUGCGAAGGCAGCAUACCGGUGCACAACUGACGCUCAGGCACGAAAGCGUGGGUAUCGAACAGGAUUAGAUACCCCAGUAGUC
rnacentral:rRNA from 1 species